AUUGAACGCUCGCGGGAUGCUUUACACAUGCAAGUCGAACGGCAGCGCGGACUUCGGUCUGGCGGCGAGUGGCGAACGGGUGAGUAAUGUAUCGGAACGUGCCCAGUAGCGGGGGAUAACUACGCGAAAGCGUAGCUAAUACCGCAUACGCCCUACGGGGGAAAGCCGGGGAUCGUAAGACCUUGCACUAUUGGAGCGGCCGAUAUCGGAUUAGCUAGUUGGUGAGGUAACGGCUCACCAAGGCGACGAUCCGUAGCUGGUUUGAGAGGACGACCAGCCACACUGGGACUGAGACACGGCCCAGACUCCUACGGGAGGCAGCAGUGGGGAAUUUUGGACAAUGGGGGCAACCCUGAUCCAGCCAUCCCGCGUGUGCGAUGAAGGCCUUCGGGUUGUAAAGCACUUUUGGCAGGAAAGAAACGUCGCGGGCUAAUACCCCGUGGAACUGACGGUACCUGCAGAAUAAGCACCGGCUAACUACGUG
rnacentral:rRNA from 1 species